rnacentral:misc_RNA from 1 species
GAUGAAGAACGCAGCGAAAUGCGAUAAGUAAUGUGAAUUGCAGAAUUCAGUGAAUCAUCGAAUCUUUGAACGCACAUUGCGCCCGCCAGUAUUCUGGCGGGCAUGCCUGUUCGAGCGUCAUUUCAACCAUCAAGCCCCCGGCUUGUGUUGGGGACCUGCGGCUGCCGCAGGCCCUGAAAAGCAGUGGCAGGCUCGCUGUCACACCGAGCGUAGUAGCAUACAUCUCGCUCUGGGCGUGCUGCGGGUUCCGGCCGUUAAACCACCUUCAUAACCCAAGGUUGACCUCGGAUCAGGUAGGAAGACCCGCUGAACUUAAGCAUAUCAAUAAGCGGAGGA